AUCCGUCUGACGAGUCCCAAAUAGGACGAAACGCGCGUCCUGGAU
rfam:Schistosoma mansoni strain Puerto Rico chromosome 4, complete genome